UUUUAGCCCCGAUAGCAGUGAAAAUCCUUUUGUGUCUCGUUUCUUUAACGAGACAUAAAAGAUUGUAACGGAUAGCGGGAUUAGCU
rnacentral:sRNA from 1 species